rnacentral:rRNA from 1 species
CCCCUAGAUGUUCUGGGCCGCACGCGCGCUACACUGAACAGUUCAACAAGUCUUAACCUUGGCCGAUAGGUCUGGGUAAUCUUUGAACGCUGUUCGUGAUUGGGAUAGACCUUUGCAAUUAUGGGUCUUCAACGAGGAAUUCCUAGUAAACGCAAGUCAUCAGCUUGCAUUGAUUACGUCCCUGCCCUUUGUACACACCGCCCGUCGCACCUACCGAUUGAAUGGUCCGGUGAAUUAUUCGGACUGCAACGCGUUCAGCUUCUGGAUGCAGUUGCGGAAAGUUUUGUAAACCUUAUCACUUAGAGGAAGGAGAAGUCGUAACA